rnacentral:rRNA from 1 species
CACACCGCCCGUCAUACCAUGGGAUUUGGUUUCACCUUAAGGCUGUAAGCUAACCUCUCACGAGGAGGCAGCAGACCACGGUGGGAUUAGAGACUGGGGUA